AACCUUACGAAUGCGAGAUUUGUUUAAAACAGUUUCGUACUACAAGUGAUUUGAAAACACAUUUGAUAACGCACACUCAAGAAAAACCUUACAAGUGCGAGAUUUGCUCUAAGCAGUUUUCUCAGAAACGUCAUUUGAAACGUCAUUUGAAAGUACAUACUAGAAGAGAUCUUGACGAGAACACGUCGGAACAUCAUUAACGAGAACAUGUCCAUAUAAUAAUAUAAAUAAUAGACAGAUGGGACAAAUCGAGGGAAGCAAUCCAAACAACAUGCACGACUAUAGUAAAGCGUGACAGACAACAAGAAAUAAUGGAUGUAUGGUGAGAUCAUGGAUAUGAUGCAUCUUUUUCUUUGGGUGCCGUCUUCUUAGCGAAGGUUGGCGAUGACUCCUGUAAAGUCUUCUCUAUUUUGGGCUUUUCUAUUAGACUUUGAAAGUCUAAUCCUGUCCAUUCUUUGAUGUUCCGCAGCUAGGUCAUUGUCGUCUACCCGGGCCGCGUCUUCCUUCUAUUUUCCCUUCCAUAAUAAGUUGAAGGAUUUAUACCCGUCGUGUCUAAAUAUGUGUCCAAGGUUAUUCUCAAGAGGAGAGCAAAUUGGAAAUUAUGGAGACACUACCUAAACAUUUAUCUGAUGAAGGAAAAGCAUUUACUCAAAAUAUGACUGUUGCGAC
rnacentral:misc_RNA from 1 species